ACUCCUACGGGAGGCAGCAGUGGGGAAUAUUGUGCAAUGGGGGAAACCCUGACACAGCAACGCCGCGUGAGCGAAGAAGGCCUUCGGGUUGUAAAGCUCAAUAGUAUGGGAAGAUAAUGACGGACCAUACGAAAGCUCCGNCANCUACG
rnacentral:rRNA from 1 species